GAUGAAGAACGUAGCGAAAUGUGAUAAGUAAUGUGAAUUGCAGAAUUCAGUGAAUCAUCGAAUCUUUGAACGCACAUUGCGCCCCCUGGUAUUCCGGGGGGCAUGCCUGUUCGAGCGUCAUUUCACCACUCAAGCCUCGCUUGGUAUUGGGCAACGCGGUCCGCCGCGUGCCUCAAAUCGACCGGCUGGGUCUUCUGUCCCCUAAGCGUUGUGGAAACUAUUCGCUAAAGGGUGUUCGGGAGGCUACGCCGUAAAACAACCCCAUUUCUAAGGUUGACCUCGGAUCAGGUAGGGAUACCCGCUGAACUUAAGCAUAUCAAUAAGCGGAGGA
rnacentral:misc_RNA from 1 species